CCAUCUUGGAAGCAGCCUGCCACCAUCUUGGGAGCUCUGGGAGCAAGGACCGCCCGGUAACAUUUUGGCAACCAUGAAGGGACCUCCAAAGUGUUUUCUCCUAAGGUUGAGGCUGUACAUUUUUGGGAAGAAUACCACAGAAGUGAUGUUAUUGUCCAUCUAUGCCCCUGCAUCAUAUCACAGCUCCCUGCACAACCCCCUGACCAGUCCCCGGUAACCAGCAU